CCUACGGGGGGCAGCAGUGGGGAAUAUUGCGCAAUGGGCGAAAGCCUGACGCAGCGACGCCGCGUGAGGGAUGAAGGUCUUCGGAUCGUAAACCUCUGUCAGCAGGGAAGAACGGUCACUGUGCUAAUCAGCAGUGAAUUGACGGUACCUGCAAAGGAAGCACCGGCUAACUCCGUGCCAGCAGCCGCGGUAAUACGGAGGGUGCGAGCGUUAAUCGGAAUUACUGGGCGGAAAGCGCUCGUAGGCGGUAUGUCAAGUCAAGGGUGAAAUCCCCGCGCUCAACGUGGGAACUGCCUUUGAAACUGGCAGACUGGAGUGCGUUAGAGGAUGGUGGAAUUCGAGGUGUAGGAGUGAAAUGCGUAGAUAUCAGGAGGAACAUCAGUGGCGAAGGCGAUUAACUGGCACAUAACUGACGCUGAGGAGCGAAAGUGUGGGUAGCAAACAGGAUUAGAUACCCGUGUAGUC
rnacentral:rRNA from 1 species